rnacentral:lncRNA from 1 species
AGACAUGCCCUGAACAUGCUGCCGCCCAGUCUUCACCAUCGGGCCCUCGCUCCUCCCCGCACCCGGUGGGUGAGAGCCUUUCCAAGCAGAUGGUUGGUGUGAUACCAUCAACAACCGGGCCUACUGCCACUAUGAUGGGGGAGACUGCUGCUCUUCCACACUCUCCUCCAAGAAGGUCAUUCCAUUUGCUGCUGACUGUGAUCUGGAUGAAUGCACCUGCCGAGACCCCAAGGCUGAAGAAAAUCAGUGACUGUGGGAAUGAGCCCCUCCUUCCACUGCCCUGGAGGCAGUGAGAAAGAGAGAGCCCUCCACAAAAGGAAACAAAAGGUGAAUGAAGAAGAAAGGUCAUGAAGGGAGGGACGGAUGAAGAACAUGGAGAAUCUUAUAAGAAACUCAAGAGGAUGUUUAUAGGUGCCAACUAUUGCAUCAAGUAGUCCAAGUAAGGAAGAAUCAUAGGCAAAAAAAAGUUUCUUCAAAGAGGCAGUUGAUUUAAAGUGGAAAGAAAAAUACGAUAGAUAUACAAGGACCCUCCUCCCAUUUAUAUUCUCUCCAACCCCAUCGUGAAUUCUUGCCCUGCUUCCCACUCUGCACCCUGUCAACUAUUCAGCCCUACCCAACUUGUAAACUAGUACCAAAAUACUAGAAGAGAAGCUGCCAGGGACACUCUGUUAAUACUGGUUUCACAUGGAUUGCCACCCUUCAGGGCUCUUCUAAUCUAAACUGGCUCGCUCCCUUUCUUUGUGUAGUCUCCCUUAGGAAUAUCGAGGUUAGUGAUUAAUUCUUUAUAAGUAUUUAAACAUAAUUAUAUAAAUAUAUUAUAUAUAUUAUAUUUUUUGCCGUCUACUAAGCUAAAAAUUAUUCAUGGUUCCACACAUGCUGCUGUGAAGUUCACAUCCAAAAUGAAUGCUGAGGGUUUGAGGACCGAGAGACAAGUUAUUCUACCAUCGUUCUAGUCCUAGGGGCUGGCAGGUUGAGAGGGAACUGGAGAAGGAAGGAGAGCGAUCAGAUGCAGUUUUUGAUGAUAAUAUGUCAGCUAAUCAUCUUUUUAUGAGCUGGGAGCUGGCCCAGUUGGAGAAGAUGGGGUCUCGGAAUGAUAAUACUAAGAGGCACAGAAAAGUGGGUAGGGGGUAUGCAUUGGUGAUGGGUCCAGGAAAACUAGACUAGGAUCCAUCCAAAAAGAAUAUAUUCUAUUCACUUCUCCGAAUUCCUAGCUGCACUUGGUGAGACCCAGGAUUUUCUACACUUCCACAUGUGCCUGUUCCAAGUGUGGCUCUCAGCCAGCCACUCAGUUAACAAGUUUGUAUGAGGGCUCUUUCUCUGAUCACCAGGAUUACAGGAAGUCACGCAUUCCUCAUUCUUGGCCUGUGGUCUCACUCAUUCUAAGUCCCCAAGCCUGGCCAUCAUUCACAGCCACAUGACCUAUUGUUGAUUUUCUGGGGAAAAAAAAAAGACUGUCAUGGAAAUGACAUCGGGAAAAGGUGGGAGGAGAUGGAAGAACAGGCAGGGAUGGAGGAGCCAAGGGAGGCAGUAGACAGGGGAGAAGUCAGGGUUAAUCAGAGCGCAGGGCCAGGGAGGAUGAAAUGAGUCAAGGAAACUCAACCUUGUUCCAAGUCUCCCAAGCAGACCAAAUGGGAUCCUUUGCACAAGGCAGAAUGGGAGUUAAAUUCUCUUCAAGUGCGAUGUGUCAAAUCUGUGUCCCAGAGAGUUCCUUUGGAGCAAGCUGUAAAAUACAUGGAGCAAGGGUGACACUCUGUGGGGAGAGAGAAGCAUUUCAACGAUUUGGGGUCCAUUUUGUCCUCGUUACCCUUUCUUGCUCAAUCGUUGGACUGUACGUGAAAUGACCAGGGUAACCUGCCUCUCUGUUUACAUCCAGGCUGAUGCUCCCUGCAUGUGGUCUCUUGCAGUUGUUUUUUGGUAAUGAUUUAUGGAUGAGGCCUUGGAGAGGGAGGGUAAGGAGCUAGUUUCUUGUUCAACACCCCAGUUUAUCAUCUCAGGAAGGGCUGGGAGGUUUGCCUCCCUCCAAGCCUCUUCUCCAGUGGAAGGGAAGAAAGGACAGGCACAAGUUCAAGGGCAGCCUUGGGCUCUCUGGAUCUCCUUCCUGCACUUUGGCUCUGACUGCAGUAUUCUACUCUUCCCAUCCACCCUGAAGCAAGGGCUGUGCAAAUAGAAAGGGGAAAUACCAAUCCCCCACCCCCACUAUCUUGAACCGGAUUUUAUGUAGGAAAGAACAACAUUCUGGAAUGAAGUUAAAAGGAGAAGGCAACAUACACAUAUUUACCUGCGGGGAUGUGAAGUGAGAGCAGCAGAGUCACUGGGGAAAGGAAAGAGCAGCGUCUGCCCAUCGAAAAUAUACCUGUCCUCUGUAUUUACAGCCCUAACAGCAAGUAUUGCCUGGAUGCCUGCUGGUGCUUAUCUGGGUUGGCAUUCAGUGCCCCCCAAGAAGAGAAUAUUUGGGGGAUUCUGAUAGGUCACAACAUGGAAGGGACAAUAGAAAAGUUUAGAUGCUCCAUCUUAAAACAGUUGUGAAAUCAUUAUCCAAAGUUCUUGAAGCCGGCAAACUGUGCAGGGAACCCUGUCCUGUCUGAGACUGAGGCAGCAGAGCUGUUACCCUGGGCCCUGCAGGGCUCAGGGAGGCUCCAGCACGGCCCCUCCCCCAGGAACUCAGAGACUGCGCUUCACAGUGCAAGACUGGCCUGUCCCCCUAUAGGAAUCACAGGACAUUUCUCUUUUGUACUCCAUUUAAAAAUAUUUUAUUAUCUGUGGGCAACAUCUGCACUCCAUCACUGCCCUGGGAAUGUGAGCGGUGGUGUGUGGAAAGCCCUUCAGGCAGAAGGCUGCCUAGCCCGAGUCGGCUCUGGCCAUUCAGAGACAGCAGGUUCCCCCAACCUUUGUUCCUGGAGCCUGUGCUUUGCGCUCCUCAGGUCCCUGAUAAAGCUGAAGGUCUGAGAUGCCAUGGUCACAGAUCCCCAGUGGAUAUCAGCUCCACUGGCUCCAUGGGUCUGUGUUCUGCGGCUCUUCCCACCCACAAGGCCACAGAGGCUCUACCAUCAGUUCUUUGUUCCAAAAUCACUUCUCUGCUUCCUCUUUUUCCUAGUAAGUAGGAGCGCUGGUGUCCACGUUGCCUGGGGCUGCAGGACUCUGGUGAUUAGCAUAACAGCUCCGACCAGAGAGACUAGAUUGGAGGGAGGAGAAGGAUCAGCUGGCAAACUUGCACCUGAAGUGAAGAGCUGCUCUUGAUUCUCUCCUUUCCUUCCCUCCAUUACAAGGCAUUGGAUUUGGCACUUCCUCUCCUCUGAGAUCCCUAUUGAGUGUGACCGUUUGCACCCCAAAGGGAUGGUUUGAUUAGGAACGUAGUGAAAAGAGCGGAUCUACUGUAUUGUAACGUAAAACAGCUACAGCCAGUUAUUUUGUAAGAUUAUAAGAUGUUCAUUAAAAA